GNNAAUGCGCUGCUACCAUGCAGUCGAACGGUGAAGCAGAGCUUGCUCUGUGGAUCAGUGGCGAACGGGUGAGUAACACGUGAGCAACCUGCCCCGGACUCUGGGAUAAGCGCUGGAAACGGCGUCUAAUACCGGAUACGAGAUUCCACCGCAUGGUGAGUUUCUGGAAAGGUUUUUUGGUCUGGGAUGGGCUCACGGCCUAUCAGCUUGUUGGUGAGGUAAUGGCUCACCAAGGCGUCGACGGGUAGCCGGCCUGAGAGGGUGACCGGCCACACUGGGACUGAGACACGGCCCAGACUCCUACGGGAGGCAGCAGUGGGGAAUAUUGCACAAUGGGCGGAAGCCUGAUGCAGCAACGCCGCGUGAGGGAUGACGGCCUUCGGGUUGUAAACCUCUUUUAGCAGGGAAGAAGCGAAAGUGACGGUACCUGCAGAAAAAGCGCCGGCUAACUACGUGCCAGCAGCCGCGGUAAUACGUAGGGCGCAAGCGUUAUCCGGAAUUAUUGGGCGUAAAGAGCUCGUAGGCGGUUUGUCGCGUCUGCUGUGAAAUCCCGAGGCUCAACCUCGGGUCUGCAGUGGGUACGGGCAGACUAGAGUGCGGUAGGGGAGAUUGGAAUUCCUGGUGUAGCGGUGGAAUGCGCAGAUAUCAGGAGGAACACCGAUGGCGAAGGCAGAUCUCUGGGCCGUUACUGACGCUGAGGAGCGAAAGGGUGGGGAGCAAACAGGCUUAGAUACCCUGGUAGUCCACCCCGUAAAACGUUGGGAACUAGUUGUGGGGGUCCAUUCCACGGAUUCCAUGACUCAACUAACGCAUUAAGUUCCCCGCCUGGGGGAGUAAGGCCGCAAGGCUAAAACUCAAACGAAUCGACGGGGGAGCCC
rnacentral:rRNA from 1 species